UUAUAAACUUAUGGUGUUUAUCAAAAUUUAGGCUUUUGAAUGCUUUGGAAACAAUUUCUCCAAGAAGCAGAUGAAUUCACUGACAAAAGUAAUCCCCCAAAUCAGUUGUUAGGGCUGGCAUCCAAACAUUCUUGAGCCAUGGAAACCAAAAGUGGAAUGUUUUGCUUAACACCUACUUUGAACAGAAUUUUACCAAGGGAAAAAAUAUCACUGGCUUUGCUACAGGGAGAACCAUUAAGAACCUCAGGAGCAAUAUGAGGAUAACAGAUGCUGUACUUCUUUGCAGGAGGAAAGGAGCUGUCACAUGCUUUUCCAAAAUCGAUGAUGUAGCCAUGUUUGUUACUCACAAGAACAUUAUUAGCCUUCAAAUCACAGUGAAGAAAGCCUUUUGUGUGAACAUGCGAAAGGGCUUCUGUCAAAUCAUGUGAAAUAAUUAACCAGUCAUUUGUUAU